rnacentral:lncRNA from 1 species
GAAUUUUUGUUUGGGCCCGGCCAUCACAUCCAUGAAAAUAGGAUUUGAUAUGGUUGCAGAACAGAUUCUCAAAAAAGAUAUGGUUGCAGAACAGUAUGCUGAAUCUGUACGUUUUGCCAUCAUCUUCUUUCCUCCAGAUAGGAAGAGGAAUUUGAGGCUCAACACUGAUCUCCUAUGAAAAUAGAGGAUUAUACAAUUAGAUAACAGGUUUAUAUCAUUUUUGGUGCCUCCAUCAAAUUUCCUUGCCAAGUUACUGGAUGUACCUGGUCUUGAAGGAAUUUAUCGUUCCUCCAUCAACCUGCUGUAAGCCUUCUCCAGAUUCAACAAUUGCAGCAUGCUACCCGUCAAGAUACCUGAGGAUCUGGAAAUCAAUAAUAUGAAGUGUUCUCACGGGCAGACAUUUCAUUUCCACAUGAAUUAAUUAGCGCUACCUUGUUUGUAUGCUUAUGAUGAUCAUUUCUAUUACACCUUGAUACUUUAACCAUAACCUAUCGUUUAUUUUGUGGAUUAUAUCACAUGCACUGAUGAAAUUUUAGCUAUACUUACAUAGCUAUACACUUGUAUGGACACAUAGCUUUCUCAAUUUAUCAUUUGAUUCUUGUGGGGUCUGUGUUCCUAUAGCAUAGCUGCAAAAUACAAAAUUCAGGUGAGGGAGUACUUGAGAAUGAUGACUUUGUAGAUGGAUUCCUCAUUUAUAAAUUUGCUUUUGGAUGUAUUCUUUAGAGAAAGAAAUCCCUUUUAAUGAUCGUCUUCAAAGUUUUCAAGUUUAUGUGCAAUCACCAUGAUCACCCAGUUUUGGGGCCCAUUGGCUGGCUUGAAGAAGGCCCAAACCCAUGGACCGUGGAUGCCUAGCACGUGCUUGAGAAGAAGACGACUCCGGUUAGGAGUCUUCUUCCUCUCUCAACGUCGGCGGAUGCCAGGGGUUUUAGAGCAAGCCUAGUUCCACUAAAACUUCUAGGAUAUCACCUAUAAAAGGCUCCCUCCUCUGGACUCCACCACCGAAAUCUCAAGAGAUCGCCGCUAAUUUCAAGUUUCUUUUUGGGUGAGAUUAUCUCCGGUUUCUCCAUCGAUUUGGUUGUGACGUCUCGCUGGACUUAGGUAAUGAAACAAAGCACUUCUUCUUCUAUCUUUUCCGGCCUCAUGGCCAUCAUCAAAUCAAACCUUGAUUAGAGUAGGCGAGUUGCCGAAAUCAUGUUUGGGUAGAGGUUGCCCUGUCUUAGGAAGUCUUCUGAAGUCGUCGGAGGCUUCACUUCGAGGCAUUGAUCAUUGGUCAUGGAUAAAAAAUAAAAGCAAAAAGAAGAAGAAGAAGAUCAGACCUUCCAUCCUUGGUUUCUCUUAUUGUUCUACCUUCUUUUUUCUCUUCACUGGCUGGCC